GCCGGGGUGGCUCAAUCGGUAGAGCGUGUGGCUCUUAUUCAAGAGUAUGACCUCAAGGUUGCGGGUUCGAGUCCCGCCUUCGGCU
rnacentral:tRNA from 1 species